rnacentral:lncRNA from 1 species
UCAUUUAGAUAGCUAUCGGAACACGCGUGUGAAUAAAUUAUUUUUCAUUGUGCCUAUUUCCCAUACAUUUUUGAAGACUUUAUUAUAUGUGAAGUGCGGUUAAGUGUGGUGCUAUAUACAGGCUAUGAUAAUGAACAGUGGUUAUUUUAUUGAACUAUAUAAUGUGCUGUUUGCCAAAUAUUGAAAACACCGGUCGGGCCUAAGAAACUAUUCUUUCUUCUACAUACAAACAACGCAACAGGUUGAGGCGAGUGGCGCCCUCUUGAAGAUUUCUGAGAAUUACAGUAUAUAUACAAGUUAAAGCCAUGUGGGAAAUUUAUACUUAUAGUACUGUUAUAACAGACAGCGAUAACCUUUUCAUGGAAUAUGAAUCAUUAACAGUAUUUAUUAGACAGAGCAUUGCGGCCAGAUAUCUUUUGAACUUUUUCUUUCGCAUUUCGUUUGUUAUCAUCGUGGAGACCGCAGAUGGAGUAAGGCAUACGUAUAACCCAAGUGUACAACGUCAAUCAAUUUUGAGCCGUAUUCUGCGCGGAAGGCCGAUCUCAGUCAGAAUCCGUUGUUGCGUUCUAAGUAGGUUCUCAUUUCACUAAAUGAGAGAGUGAAUAACUGUGACAAAAUUUACUCCCAGACUAUUGACAAUUGUGCAAAAAAAAUCUAUUUUAGUCGCCGAGAGGUAGCUCUAUCUAGGGUCGCUCAUACUGCGCAUGUCAGCUUUGCUGUCAAGUUAGGCAGAAUUGAAAAAUACUCGUAACGGCGCAGGGAAGUCAAGAGCUGCAACUGGCAACUUGUCUUCAUGGGCAGACUUCAGUCCAGAUUUUAGUGGCCUAUCUAUUGCGCAUGCUCUAUAAUUUGGGCGUGGCUGUUCUACUGAUCUGGGCAACUGUUUGAAGGAGACAAAGGCAUUCAGCGUUUUACGCGUCCGGGCUUUCUUGCUACUUCUGCUGCCUGUGUGAUAUUCGUGGGGAAAAGAUCAACACAAGUAAUCGGUCCAUCAAAAAAAAUCAGGCUGUGGGCCCUCUCAUUGAACGGAUAAAUACCAAUUAAAAUCUUCACAAUGAAGAAGCAAGUCCUGAAAGUCAUCCAGAACAUAAAGAAAAAGGUGACGUGGAAGAUCACCCUUGCGACGUACACGCACAAUAAAUUCAGUCGUAAAGGCAAAGGAUUUUCCAAGCAUUUACCAGAAAAGAAAAAUCCUCACAACUAUACAAAGAUGGAUUAAGCUUUAACGAACUGUACAGGUGCACAAGAAACAAUAAAAUAUAAGCUUUAAACAACACCUCAUUUCUAUCUACAUUUGAUCUCUACUUCUUCUUCACGUUUCUAAAAAAGUAUACGGCUCUUGUAUACUUAAGGGAUCAUUUUCAUCAUAGAGAAUCCUGGUUUCUUUGUAUGAAAGACGGCAAAAUAUUAGAAAAAUACUUGGUGUUGGUAAAUACUGAAGACAUAGAUCGAACAGGCUCUCACUAAAUGUGGAUGGUCAAUACUCGAGUUGAAAUACAGCUAAACUGUGCAUCACCAGACUCCAAUCGGUGUCCGAUGUCAAGGACCAUGGUACUAAUUACGACUACAAAAUGAUUCACUUCUAUACGAAG